rnacentral:rRNA from 1 species
UACGGGGGGAGCAAGCGUUGUUCGGAUUUACUGGGCGUAAAGGGCGCGUAGGCGGCCACCGCAAGUCGGUUGUGAAAUCUCUGGGCUUAACCCAGAAAGGUCAAUCGAUACUGCGGGGCUAGAGUGCAGAAGGGGCAACCGGAAUUCUCGGUGUAGCGGUGAAAUGCGUAGAUAUCGAGAGGAACACCAGUGGCGAAGGCAGCUCGCUGGGACGGUAUUGACGCUGAGGCGCGAAAGCGUGGGGAGCAAACAGG